rnacentral:rRNA from 1 species
CUAUGCGCCUUGCCAGCCCGCUCAGGUGUGCCAGCCGCCGCGGUAAUACGUAGGUGGCGAGCGUUGUCCGGAUUUACUGGGCGUAAAGGGAGCGUAGGCGGACUUUUAAGUGAGAUGUGAAAUACUCGGGCUCAACUUGAGUGCUGCAUUUCAAACUGGAAGUCUAGAGUGCAGGAGAGGAGAAUGGAAUUCCUAGUGUAGCGGUGAAAUGCGUAGAGAUUAGGAAGAACACCAGUGGCGAAGGCGGCUUACUGGACUGUAAAUGACGCUGAGGCUCGAAAGCGUGGGGAGCAAACAGG